GUGCUUGCUUCAGCAGCGCACAUACUAAAAUUGGAACGAUACAGAGAGGAGUAGCAUAGUCUCUGCGCAAGGAUGACACACAAAUUUGUGAAGCAUUCCAUAUUUUU